ACGUCCGGCGCGCGGGCGGCGGGCGGUGGCUGCCGGUCGCGGGCCGCGGCCGCGCCGCGGUGGCCGGUGCGGCCCCGGCCCGGGUCUU
rnacentral:tRNA from 1 species